rnacentral:rRNA from 1 species
AGAGUUUGAUCAUGGCUCAGAUUGAACGCUGGCGGCAGGCCUAACACAUGCAAGUCGAGCGGUAGCACAGAGAAACUUGUUUCUUGGGUGACGAGCGGCGGACGGGUGAGUAAUGCUUGGGAACAUGCCUUUAGGUGGGGGACAACAGUUGGAAACGACUGCUAAUACCGCAUGAUGUCUACGGACCAAAGUGGGGGACCUUCGGGCCUCACGCCUAAAGAUUGGCCCAAGUGGGAUUAGCUAGUUGGUGAGGUAAUGGCUCACCAAGGCAACGAUCUCUAGCUGGUUUGAGAGGAUGAUCAGCCACACUGGAACUGAGACACGGUCCAGACUCCUACGGGAGGCAGCAGUGGGGAAUAUUGCACAAUGGGCGAAAGCCUGAUGCAGCCAUGCCGCGUGUGUGAAGAAGGCCUUCGGGUUGUAAAGCACUUUCAGUCAGGAGGAAAGGUUACGUUUUAAUAGAACGUAGCUGUGACGUUACUGACAGAAGAAGCACCGGCUAACUCCGUGCCAGCAGCCGCGGUAAUACGGAGGGUGCGAGCGUUAAUCGGAAUUACUGGGCGUAAAGCGUACGCAGGCGGUUGAUUAAGCGAGAUGUGAAAGCCCCGGGCUCAACCUGGGAACUGCAUUUCGAACUGGUCAACUAGAGUGUGAUAGAGGGUGGUAGAAUUUCAGGUGUAGCGGUGAAAUGCGUAGAGAUCUGAAGGAAUACCGAUGGCGAAGGCAGCCACCUGGGUCAACACUGACGCUCAUGUACGAAAGCGUGGGGAGCAAACAGGAUUAGAUACCCUGGUAGUCCACGCCGUAAACGAUGUCUACUAGAAGCUGGGGUCCUCGGACAACUUUUUCAAAGCUAACGCAUUAAGUAGACCGCCUGGGGAGUACGGCCGCAAGGUUAAAACUCAAAUGAAUUGACGGGGGCCCGCACAAGCGGUGGAGCAUGUGGUUUAAUUCGAUGCAACGCGAAGAACCUUACCUACACUUGACAUCCAGAGAAAUCGCUAGAGAUAGCUUUGUGCCUUCGGGAACUCUGAGACAGGUGCUGCAUGGCUGUCGUCAGCUCGUGUUGUGAGAUGUUGGGUUAAGUCCCGCAACGAGCGCACCCCCUAUCCUUAGUUGCCAGCGAGUAAUGUCGGGAACUCUAA